rnacentral:sRNA from 2 species
GAAGAAUAGAAGCUGAAUCUGGUUUUUCCAGAACGGGGGAUCUCGUACUGGGGUGUAUCGUGCCGUUAGGUGCGUAGGGCUACACCUGUGCCCAAACCCGUCAACUAACCUCGUAAGCUCAAAAGGUGGCAAAU